rnacentral:rRNA from 1 species
GGAGUUAGCCGGUGCUUCUUCUGCGAGUAACGUCACAGAUGUAAGGUAUUAACUUACACCCUUUCCUCCUCGCUGAAAGUGCUUUACAACCCGAAGGCCUUCUUCACACACGCGGCAUGGCUGCAUCAGGGUUUCCCCCAUUGUGCAAUAUUCCCCACUGCUGCCUCCCGUAGGAGUCUGGGCCGUGUCUCAGUCCCAGUGUGGCUGAUCAUCCUCUCAGACCAGCUAGGGAUCGUCGCCUAGGUGAGCCUUUACCUCACCUACUAGCUAAUCCCACCUGGGCUUAUCCAUCAGCGCAAGGCCCGAAGGUCCCCUGCUUUCCCCCGUAGGGCCGUAUGCGGUAUUAGCAGUCGUUUCCAACUGUUAUCCCCCACAAAUGGGCAAAUUCCCAGGCAUUACUCACCCGUCCGCCGCUCGUCAUCUUCAAAAGCAAGCUUUUGAAAUGUUACCGCUCGACUUGCAUGUGUUAGGCCUGCCGCUAGCGUUCAUCCUGAGCCAUAAUCAAACUCUGA